rnacentral:rRNA from 1 species
GUGUCAGCAGCCGCGGUAACACGGGGGGAGCAAGCGUUGUUCGGAAUCACUGGGCGUAAAGGGCGUGUAGGCGGUCAAGUAAGUGGGGUGUGAAAGCCCCCGGCUCACCCGGGGAUCUGCAUUCCAAACUGCUUGGCUUGAGUACGGGAGAGGAUGAGGGAAUUCCUGGUGUAGCGGUGAAAUGCGUAGAUAUCAGGAGGAACACCGGUGGCGAAGGCGCUCAUCUGGCCCGAUACUGACGCUGAGGCGCGAAAGCUAGGGGAGCAAACGGGAUUAGAAACCCGCGUAGUCC